AUUUGACAAACAGGUCACAUAUUAUUUAAAUUAAAAAAAUGAGAAACGACAUUUUCGGCAGUCUGGCAGUCAUUUGGGACACCGAAACCUCCAUUUGUUCCUCGGUGCUCUGAAGAGAAAUGAUCCUGAAUUGCCCCUGAUGCUGUGAUACCUGCUGUGUCCUGAUGCUCUACUUCAGCCCUAGUGACUUAUCUUCUGCUGGAUGAUCUCACAUAGAGAUGCAAAAGAUCUGGAUUUCCUUAAAGCCUAUUAGUUUCUGUCCAAAUCCUACCCUUAAUCUCACCUGGAUACUUGACCUACAGACCUGCUGCAGUAAUCAUAAUGACUACAAACCUUCUUUCCCUCAACCACUCACUACUGUCUGACCUCAUAGUAUACAGUUGUAGAGUAACGGUUUCUAACAUCCAGAAGAGGAUGGGAUCUUUUUUUUUUUAACUUUCUCAAGGUUUCUUCAUGUUAUUAUAAAGAGUUUUUCCUUGCCAUCAUCACAUGCUUAUCAGAGCACCGAGUCAACGUUCGGAUUUGCGAGUGCUUUGUGAAAAUGUCUUUUUUUACGAAUACCAUACAAAUAAAAUUGGUCCUUUAACAACGAGUUAUAACGUGAGAUCCAGAUAUCCGAAUACUUUCAAAGCAGUUCGAAUAACUGCAUUGUUGUACAUAAUUAUUCUUGUUUUAUCUUGUCAAUGGAAACAGGAUGUUUUUUUUUAGCUUGGAUUGAACGUAUGAUU